GUUCUAGCUUCAGCAGCACAUAUACUGACAUUGGAACAAUACAGGGAAGAUUACCAUGGUCCCUGCACAAGGAUGACAUGCAAAUUCGUGAAGCUUUACAUAUUUUU